AUUGCUUUCAAUAGCUGUUGGGCCCAAUCAUUAAUUCGGUGCUCCAUUAAUCUGGCUAAGAUCAAAUAUUUUCUGUGAAAAACGAGAUAUGUAAUGUAGCGCAAGUUUAGUAAUAUUUUGAAUUAUCCAUACAUACACUUGAACUGUUAAAAGACUCCAAGGAAACGAAUGAAACACUUAAAUUUUCCUUCUAAAACACGUGCAAACUUUCUCGAUUAUCCACGGGAAAAAAUUCUCUGGUUUAUGAGAAACAAAACUGAUACGAUUAAUUCAAACAAUAAACUUAGUUGUCAUUACACAAAUAAGACCAUAGAUAAAAUGAACCAAUUUUUUUCUUGAUAUAAUGUAAAACACGAUUGAAUCAACAAAUACGUUGCCAAUAACUUCAACUCAACAUUUGUUGACAUGUAAUAAAUGGCUGAUUUAUUUCAACGAUAAAAUCUGCCGAAACAAACCAUGUUUUUCGUUAGCCAGGAUGAGAAUUUGUUUUCAAAUCAAAUAGAUAUAGUUGUUGAUGUAGAAGGAAGAAAUUGGUUCAAAAUAAUCAUAUUCUAGCUUGAAAUCAACAGAAAUCAUAUUUUAAAAUCUACUGACUGUUUUGUUAUUUUAAACUAGCUCAAUUUCUCUGCGUGUACAUAUCCAAUGAUUUAUUUGCUUUGAAUUACCGGAAAAGAUUGGUAAGAUUUUUAUGAGGUCGGGGACUUUGCCUCUCUGACACUCUAUAUCAAUAUUAACUAUAGCAUUAUGUGACGGUGCAAAUGGUACAACUGGAACUGCAUCUAAUGCAGGAACUGCCGCGAUGGCUAAUCUGAUGCCAAAGGAUGACGUUCUUUCACUCGUUAGUGAUAUGAAUAAGGAGAUCGAGUCUUCGCAAACGAGUGAUGACACGGGAAAGAUUUUGAAGGCUCUAUCGCACUCUUCUUUGGGCUGCUGAAAGUAUGACCUGUAUAAACGAUGCUUCGGAACGUACACCUGCCUUGAACUGACUGAGUUGCUGAAAACUACCCAAAAACGCCACAUCAACGUCAGAGCAUACCAACAAAGCAUCCCAGCCAAGGAUAAUCUCUCUCGUUACAAUCUGAAGAACCUGAAGAUCCAGAAAACUCUAAAAAAUUUGUGCCACAAACGAAUGAUGUAUUUUAAUUCAAAAUCAAUAUUUUGUAAAUCCCACCCUCCUCACAUUCCUUUACUAACUCUAGGAGAGUAUGCCGCCCCUCAAUACGGCGUCCCGUCUUCUCCUAUAACAACAAGACAAACGGCCACGUUAAGCUAAAGCAAAUGAGCCAAAUAAAAAUUUUGUUAUAAAACAAUAAAAAAG